rnacentral:rRNA from 1 species
CCUACGGGAGACAGCAGUGAGGAAUAUUGGUCAAUGGACGCAAGUCUGAACCAGCCAUGCCGCGUGCAGGAAGACGGCUCUAUGAGUUGUAAACUGCUUUUGUACGAGGGUAAACGCAGAUACGCGUAUCUGUCUGAAAGUCUCCUACGAAUAAGGCUCGGCUAACUCCGUGCCAGCAGCCGCGGUAAUACGGGGGAUUCAAGCGUUAUCCGGAUUUAUUGGGUUAAAGGGGUGCGCUGGCGGAAGAUCAAGUCAGCGGUAAAAUUGAGAGGCUAAACCUCUUCGAGCCGUUGAAACUGGUUUUCUUGAGUGAACGAGAGGUAUGCGGAAUGCGUGGUGUAGCGGUGAAAUGCAUAGAUAUCACGAAGAACUCCGGUUGCGAAGGCAGCAUACCGGCGCUCAACUGACGCUGAGGCACGAAAGUGUGGGGAGCGAACAGGAUUAGAUACCCCAGUAGUC